AUAAUGAAUGAAGAGACCUGGGGAAGAGGCCACUCUAUAAACAGCAGCUGGGAUGGGCCCCGCCUGCUACCAGGACCCUCCUGGCCCCAGCACGGGACUCCUGCACAGAACUCUCUCCGCUCCUCCUUUGACUCGUGCGGAGAACUCCAUCCGCUCCCCUCUCGACUCCUGCAGGUAACUCCGUCCGCUCCUCCCUCAGCUCCUGCGGGUAACUCCGUCCACUCCUCCCUCGACUCCUGUGGGUAACUCCGUCCACUCCUCCCUCAACUCCUGCGGGUAACUCUGUCCACUCCUCCCUCGACUCCUGCGGGUAACUCCAUCCGCUUCUCCCUCGACUGCUGUGGGUAACUCCAUCCACUCCUCCCUGAACUCCUUCAGGUAACUCUGUCCGCUCCUCCCUCGACUCCUGCGGGUAGCUCCGUCCCUCCUCUGUCCGCUACAGGGCUACAGAGGGAGUAGCUCUGUCCUCCUCUCAGAGCUACAGAGGGAGUAGCUCUGUCCUCCUCUCAGAGCUACAGAGGGAGUAGCUCUCUCCGCUCCUCCCUCGACUCCUGCAGGUAACUCCAUCCGCUCCUCCCUCAACUCCUGCGGGUAACUCUGUCUGCUCCCCCAUCAACUCCUGCGGAGAACUCUCUCUGCUCCUCCCUUUUGGCUGUUGGGUUGCCCACCACAAAUAGCCAGCACCUUCCGCGCACCUGGCCACAGGCCCUUCCUCUGGGGCCGGGCCUGGGACCCCAGCCUCGAGCUCCCACGAGUCCUCCUGGACCCUGGAGAGCACACCUGGGAACAAACACAACCCCAGAGCUCAGGGACGACCUCCGGUGGCCCUAGCCAUCCCUUCCAGUGCCCUGGCCCUGCAGGGGCCCCCAAGUGGGCUGCCCUGCCCUGCUCCCACCAAGCACCAGAGCCUGGUGAGGGUGAGGGUGGCCUCAAGAGACCGACUCUGACCUUGCUGGCUCACCCUGAGGAAGCCACCAGCGAGCUGCCCUACGCAGGGGCCCACAAGGCAAAGUGCAAGAACACACCCCCACCAACAGCCCACAAGGAGCGGGAUCCCACCAGCAGCCGGGCACUAGGAGGUGACAGACGCUGCUGGUUCAAGUUGCUAAGUCCAGGCAGGAGACGCUGGGUGACCGCCAGGCCCAGCCCUUCUCAGCUACGGAGGCCAACACCUCCCCACCUCAGGCAAGAGGAGAUGGUGCCACCACAGAGGAGGGAUGCAGCAGAAAAGAACCUCGCAUCUGGAGAAGAUCCAGGACAGCGUGAAGGCUCAUCUCACAAACACGCUCCGAGUGAGCAAAAGCAUCAAGUGGGAAGAGCAGGAGGGUUCUCUCUCGUGGUCCUGGAGCCCUACGUGCAAGGCUUCUGUCUCAUGGUCCUGGAGCCCCACGUGCGAGGAUUCUCUCUCACGGUUCUGGGUCCUGGGUUCUCUCUUGCAGUCCUGAGUUCUCUAUCACGGUCCUGGAGUUCUACGUGUGAGGGUUGUCUCUCACGGUCCUGUAGCCCUACGUGCAAGGAUUCUCUCUCACGGUCCUGGGUUCUCUAUCGCGGUCCUGGAGCCCUACGUGAGGGUUCUCUCUCAUGGUCCUGGAGCCCUACAUGCAAGGAUUCUCUCUCACCAUCCUGAGUUCUCUAUCGCGGUCCUGGAUCCCCACGUGAGGGUUCUGUCUCAUGGUCCUGGAGCCCUACGUACAAGGAUUCUCUCUCAUGGUUCUGGGUUCUCUCUUGCAGUCCUGGAGCCCUAUGUGCAAGGGUUCUCUCUCACAGUCCUGGAGCCCUAAGUGCAAGGAUUCUCGCUUACGGUCCUGGGUUCUCUAUCGCGGUCCUGGAGCCCUAUGUGUGAGGGUUCUCUCUCAUGGUCCUGGAGCCCUACGUGCAAGGGUUCUCUCUCACGGUCCUGAGUUCUCUAUCGCGGUCCUGGAGCCCUAUGUGUGAGGGUUCUCUCUCAUGGUCCUGGAGCCCUAAGCACGAGGGUUCUCUCUCACGGUCCUGGAGCCCUACGUGCAAGGAUUCUCUCUCACGGUCCUGGGUUCUCUCUCACGGCUCUGGAGCCCUACAUACAAGGAUUCUCUCUCACGGUCCUGGGUUCUCUCUCAUGGUCCUGGAGCCCUACGUGCAAGGAUUCUCUCUCACAGUCCUGGGUUCUCUCUCACGGUUCUGGAGCCCUACAUACAAGGAUUCUCUCUCACGGUCCUGGGCUCUCUCUCAUGGUCCUGGAGCCCUACGUGCAAGGAUUCUUUAUCACAGUCCUGGGUUCUCUCUCACGGUUCUGGAGCCCUACAUACAAGGAUUCUCUCUGGCAGUCCUGAAGCCCUAAGCACAAGGGUUCUCUUUCACGGUCCUGGGUUCUUUCUCAUGGUCCUGGGUUCUCUCUCACGGUCCUGGGUUCUCUCUCGUAGUCCUGGAGCCCUAAGUGCAAGGAUUCUCUCUCACGGUCCUGGAUGUGGAAGCGGGAGGUCAGGGCAGAGCCAGCUUCCAGGCUGCACCUACUACCUCCUCCUUGGGCCUCGCAAGGUGGGAAAAGGGCAGGCUCGCCGUGGGGACUGGCUAUCAGGACACUGAUCCAACAGGGCAGGGGGGACUACACCCGCGUGCCCUCACUCAAUUCUAGUCACUCCCAAAGGCCCCAACACCCAACACCUUUGAGGGUUUCGAAGGAUGAACAUUCAGCCAGGGCAGCCCAUCAACAGGGUGGAGUACGUGAGGGCGCAUCAGCGAGACCAGACUCCAGCAGCCUGGAGGGGGCGAGGCUCCAAUGCAAACAAACUUUCCAAAUUUGAGACAACUUGAGAAAUGUAAAUGCUGCCUAUGUGACAAUAAGAGUGAAUGACUAUCUCUGAGAGACACAUGUCAGAAUAUUUAAUAACUACUUAAUGAUCACCCUGGCCCGGCAGGGAGUCACCCAGGUCCGUGACAGGGACGAGGCACCAGCACAAUCUCUCUCCUUUGUGUGUGUCUGAAACGUUCCACAAAUUUUUUAGAAUUAUCUCUGCUUAUAUUUAUUGAUGUGAAAAAAAAAAACCUAGGACAAACUGUUGAGUAAAACAUAGCAGUGAAC
rnacentral:lncRNA from 1 species